CGGAUGGUGUCUAGCAACGUUGGGUACCUCGUUUCUUGUGUGUGUGAGCGAGCGGUUGCUGUUUACGACUUGUUCAUAUAUCGCUUUGUAGUGCUGUAAUGUGCAAAUUAGCGGACUUUAUAGCGGCUCUCUAUUUUCCGUCGUUGUCUUUCGAGCAGCGCCUGUUGUUCCGGUAAAAAUCGAGUUGAAUGAAUCGCCACAGCCCCAACGUAUAUCGCGCAGUGUUGACCAAGACCAAGUCAAGCAGGAAUUCUGGCAUGGUAUGUGGCUGCACGAAGGAUUCCGAAAAAGAAAAACAACAACAUGGCUAAUAGGAUGUUGCUGCCCAGGGAGUCCUGGCGAAGAGGUUUACUCAUUCCAGAAGCAAGAAUUGUAUCAUUGUAAGGCGAAUGGAAAUAAACUGACAUCGACUGAGAUAGGUGCUCUGUCAUGGCCAAUGACUGUAGGAUGGCUCCAAAAGCGUCACAACAAAGCCAAUAUUCAUCUAGCUCUCUACAAGUAGCUAACUCCACAUAGUAGCCUGCUUCACAGCCUACACUACCUUGUGGGAGUACACAUUACACAAUAUGUUGCAUUGUGCUGUGGUAUGAAAACAUACCGUUUGUCUCGCAAUA